UGGCAUUGGCAUAAAAACAAACAUGACAAUGAUGAACAGUCUAGUGGGCCCAAACUAGACUUAAACAUACAUGGUACCAUUGCAGAGGGGAGAGAACAAACAGAAAUUUGACCUGUAUCUUAAACUCUAUGUAAACAAUUUUUUUUUUUAUCUUCAGGUGGAUUACAACGAGAAGCAAAAGAAAAAAAAAUGGAAAAAGAAGAUUCUAGGUGAUAAAUGAACGUCUUCAUUACUUUAGGCACCAGAGUCACGGGAGUGAACAAGAGACAAGGUCCCCACACUCCAGUGGGAGACAGUGAACAAAUAAACACUGCGGAGGCCACAAAAUGCCUGGAAGGAAAUAAGGAUGGGAGCACGAUGGGUGAAGGAUGGCUGCUUUUUGAUGUAGCACCAUCUGGACGCCUCCUUGGAUAAGUUGCGUUAGGGUCUUCACAGCACCUCCUCGCCUGGAAGCUAUCCUGCUGAGCACACCGGUCCACACCAGUUGCCAAAUCACCCCUGGAAGGGAUCACAAAAAUGAAGUGAGCAAACUCCAGUUUCCACAGGAUGAUUUGCACAAAACCAGAGAAAGUACAUGGGUUCACCUUGCACAAAAGAAAACACUGCUAAGUGCAGGGUUUUUUAAAAAAACAACUUUAUGGCUGGGCAUGGCGGCCCACGCUGUAAUCCCAGCACUUUGAGAGCCUGAAGUGGGCAGAUCACCUGAGGUCAGGAGUUUGAGAUCAUCCUGGCCAACAUGGUGAAACUCCGUCUCUACUGAAAAUACAGAAAUUAGCGGGGCAUGGUGGCAGGUGCCUGUAAUCCCAGGUGCUUGGGAGGCUGAGGCAGGAGAAUCGCUUGAAUCCAGGAGGCGGAGGUUGCAGUGAGCUGAGAUUGUGCCAUUGCACUGGGAGAGGGAGACUCCAUCUCAAAAAAAUGAAUAAAAAAUAAAAAUAACUUUAUCGAGCUAUAAUUGAGAUGCAGUAAAAUUCCCUAAUUUGAAGUGUAAGCAUUGAGUUUUGACAAAUUCAUGCCGCCAUGUACCCACCACUACAAUGUAUGUAUAGAACAUUUUCAUUACCUCAAAAACCCAAGUAAGAAUUAGAAAAUAUUCUUCCCCACUCUGACCCACUGCUGUGGGCUAUUUUCGUGCAAUGUGUCUGUGUCUUGCCGGGUGCAGUGUACACAUAAUGGAACCUGAGGCCAGCCGGCUGCCGAAGACUGAGUGCAGUGGUCAGCCUUCAUGAGAAUUCUGAAUCUCAACAGUGCAGAAAUGAAGGAUGUAUUUUAUCAUCUAGACCUUAAAUGGGUUAACUUAUUUCCUGAGCAGGAGUCUGGUUCAGGAAACCUCCCUGAUUGUAAAUGCUGAGAGAUAAUUUUUAUGAAAGGGCAUGUUUAUCCCGCUUGG
rnacentral:lncRNA from 1 species